GCCUUGCUCUGCCCAGUAAUAAACCUUUCUCUGAGCCAAACUCUGACAUUUUGGUUGGUUUGUUUGGCCUCACUGAACAUUAAGCAUAUGAACUCGUGUUCAGUAACAACUUUGGUGAAGCUAACCUAGGAGUCUGGAUUCAUGGCCAGUUAACCUCACCCAGGCGGAUGCCCUUGCCUGGGUCCGAGCAGUUGCCAGAGCUCACUUCACUCCAGGGAACAGGGAGGGACUCUCCCCAACAGGCACCAGCCACCCUGCCUGAGGCUGUUUGGAGCUGAGCAGUGGCCCACAUUCAGAGUGUCGCCUGAGGUUCCUGCAGCAGAGGGAAGAGGUACCCGUCUGAGGUGUCGUGCCAGAGAGAUGGAUCACGGUCAGUUAACAGAAGGCACCUGAAUCCGUUUGAGUGAACGCUCCCAGGCCCCCAUCAGUUCACAGAACGAAGCAGAAGCACAAGACACCGCAUCCGAGCUGGAGUGAGAGGAAGAGCCCAAGUGCGCCGACCAACCCCAGGUGGCACUUAUAAGUGUGCUGUCACACCCAGGGGAGGCAUGGUAAAGCCAGCCGAGGAGGCGGACUGGCCGGAGGAGGAGGGCAGCUCCAGGCGCAGCAUGUCAACCUGAGACACACAGGAGCCAAGCAUUGACCUGAGGCCAAGUUCUGACCAAUGAGAUGGGAGCAGACCUGUCCUAUGCAG